rnacentral:lncRNA from 1 species
UGAAAUUCACAACCACACUUUCAUUAACAGCACAACUCAUAGUAUAUUUACAAUACUAUUCACAACAUACUUGUCUCACACCUAUCUACACUAAGACAGGGUUUACAAAAGGGAUGGGAUCUUAGUCCACAUCCGGGUUAUACUCAAGAUCCCUCUUUGGAUCAUCUUCUUCUUCAAAAGUCUUUCUUCCCUUCAGGUUCCUCCUCCUUAGCUUCUCCUCAGGGUCCUGAAAUGGUUAUUCAAUAACCAAUGAGACCACGUCUCAGCGAAUUCUACCCUCUAAUACCCGAUUAGUAAGCUAAUAUACCUUAGGCUGCCUAAGCACAUCACGAGUCAGAGGACUUACCUUGGCCUCAGCUCCUUCCUACAAGUCAGUACAAUUCAUAAUAGGCACCCAAGCAAUCAUAUCACAGAUCGAAGCAUCGAUCAAAUCGACCUAGUCGAUUACAAGCCAACAAGACCACUCCCGGUCAUUUCCAUCCAAUCAAUUAAUUCACAACAUCAUAUCAAAGCAAUGACCCCUUCCAUACUUUCUAUAAGUCUGAUCAGCAUCCAAGACUACUCACCCUAGGUGAUAUAUAGAUAGUAUGUUAUCUUAUCUCCAGACGACAUAUAGAGUCAUCGAGCUAUCAAAUCAUACCGUACUGUCUCCAGAUGCUCCGUAGAGUCAUCGAGCCGGUAGAUCAUACCGUCCUGUCUCAAGAUGCUCCGUAGAGUCAUCGAGCCGGUAUACACACAAUUUAUCAUACCGUACUGUCUCCAGAUGCUCCGUAGAGUCAUCGAGUCGGUAGAUCAUACCGUCCUGUCUCAAGAUGCUCCGUAGAGUCAUCGAGCCGGUAUACACACAAUUUAUCAUACCGUACUGUCUCCAGAUGCUCCGUAGAGUCAUCGAGUCGGUAGAUCAUACCGUCCUGUCUCAAGAUGCUCCGUAGAGUCAUCGAGCCGGUAUACACACAAUUUAUCAUACCGUACUGUCUCCAAAUGCUCCAUAGAGUCAUCGAGCCGGUAGAUCAUACCGUCCUGUCUCAAGAUGCUCCGUAGAGUCAUCGAGCCGGUAUACAUGUCAUUCCAAGCAAACAAUCAAAUAACCGAUUUUCUCAUUUCCAAUAAAAUGCCAUGAGUGGGUACACGAUCGGUCCUAACCAAAAUAUAAUAAUCUCCUUUUUAUAAAUCCCACCAUAUUCUGUAUUCCACUAAAACAUUUUUGGUAUCAUUAACUGAUGCCCGGUUAAUUUCCAAUUAAUUUUCCAAGAUUACUUAAAAUAAUUCCCAAAUAAAUCAUUUCCGCACAAAAUAAAGCUCAAUUAAAUAAACAGACUGCACCACGACAAUCAGCAUAAAAUUCCGGUCAUCGGCCAUCCCAGUUGAAUUUCCGGAAGAAUAAAUAAAUAAAUAAAUAAUUUCGAAAAAUAAAUAAAUAAAUACUAAAAAUCCAAUUUAGGCCAGUAUUGCCUGAUUGGACGCCAGAACGGAUCGGGAAAAAUCCCGAGAUGCAUUCAAUAAAUAAAAGUACGUCUCUACUUGCUAAUGACUAAGUCUAACCACCUAACAUGCAUCGUUAAGUCACUAAUUUAAUUGUUCUAGACUAAUCUAACCACCUAAUUGCAUUUAAUUAAAUCUAACCAACCCCUAAGCAUAAUUAGCAAACUAAGAAAGCAUUAGUGAGUAAAACUCACUUGGCAAAGCGAAGAUCGGAACACCGCGAUGGCGACGCGAUGGCGCAACGGCGGCCGAAAUACAAAUUUUCGGUGACAUCGACGAUCACUCGGGCCGGGCCCAAAGGCCUUGCAAGCCCACAGCAAAUUGCUGGGCUUGAGCCGAACUUGGGCCGACUUGCUUCACGGGCCCAAGAUGGGCUGAACUUCAAGACUGAAAAUGGGCUGCCUUCUUGUGCUAAAAUGGGCUGGGCCGAGAAGCCCUGAAAUUUGCGGCCAUGCUAGGCUGAAUUCUGGCCUGACCUACGGCCCAAAGAAGCUGAAUCCGCGUGGCUGUCUUCGAAUGGCCCAGAUGCAUGGAUUGGGCUGCUUUUGGGCCAAGGGUAUGAUGCUGGAGAGGACCACGCUGGGGAUGCUGGGCAGCAGCAACGUGGGCUGGCGCGGCCCACGAAGGAAGCAGCAGCUGCUUCGGUCAUCAAACCGAAUGAGAGAGUAGCUGGCGUCCGCUGGCAGAGGGGGAGAGAUCACAGGAUGGCUUCGGUCUCUGCUGGGGAGACACCGCAACGUGAAUGGCAGUUGGGGUUGACUGACGAAGGUGGAAAGCAGCAGACGUCCUUGCUGGGUGGGGCGCUGCAGUGGACCGAAGAAGCUGAACAGAUGGGUUUCGGUUGACCUGGUGAAGUGAUCUGGCGUCGGGGUUGAAGACGCGAGAGAUGGCAACUGGCGGAAAGAAGAAUCGGUGGAGCUUUGCUUCGUACGAGUGGCUGAGGAGUCAACAAAACCGGUUCUGCUUGAGAGAAACUGCUGAAGGUUGACUCAACGUGGCCACGGCUUCGAUCGAAAGGGAAAGCAGCUUCGGUGGACUUUGACGUUGAGGCAGCCGCAGGAACUUCAGUGGAGACGGCAGCAAAUAGAGAGAGAGAGGGAACGUCAGUGUGACAUCCAAAAUAUUCGGUAUUAAUUUCAAUUGAGUUAAUCAGGUCAUUCCUAUGCAAUUGGAGUCGGGGAUUAAAAUGGAAUACAAAAUUGAGAUGCGAGAUGAGCUAUUGGAUGAGGAGAAUAUUUAAUGGAAGCAUUGAGGCCAAUUGAGAUGGAUUUAAAGUAAAUCAAGUGAUUAAUGGAAGCCAAUUGUUUCAAAAUUCGUAUGCCCAUAGAACCAAAAUUUUAAAUUACCUUAAAGCUUCUAGAAGGGGCAUUUUUGGCAAGGAAAAUGAAGUGGAAGACAGCUGGAUUGGUGGGGCCAGAGAGAGAGAGAGAGAGAGAGAGAGAGAGAGAGAGGAGAAAACCGGUUUCCCCUCUCCCCCGUCGACGGAACCUCCAUCUUCUUCCCCUUCCUUUUUGGUUUCUUCUUCAGCAACAAACCAGAGAAGCCCCAUCCGAAGCCGCACGCUGCUGAGGAGCCCCGUCGUUGCACGCCUCACGCCAAAACACCCGCAAGCCACCGGAGCUGCUCCCGUGCACCCGAGCCCGCCGUCGAGCUGCCGUCUGCACGCCUCCGCCCCUCUCCUCCCUCUGGUUCGAACAGAACCGACCAGCAAGAGUAGAAGCAGCGAUCGGCGCUGCUUGAAGGAGCUGCAAUCGCGCCGGAGCUGCCAUCGCCGCCGCACGCCGCCUCGCCGCCGUUCACCUCACGCUUGCCCGCCGUGCGCCAUCUGCCCAUGUCCGAACGAGCUGCUGUCCAGCUUCUGUUGCGCCUCUGGUCGGUCCCGUUCGGCCACCUACGGCCGCCGCCCGACCACCUCCGGCCACCGUCGACCCCGCCGAAGCUCCGCCUCGCCCUCAGCCGCCUUUGGCCGCCUCAACCGACGCCGGAACCACCUCAACCAGCCGCGCACAGAGGGUUGCAGAAAAUGGGUAUGACAGUGGGUUUUGGCCCGUUUUGGCCGCCUUCCCGAGCCCGGAUGCUCGGCCCACUUUGAGGAAAGUCGAUCCUCGCGUCGAGCCCGUCGUUUUGAGUGAGUUUUACUCACUAAUGCCUUCUUAGUGCGCUAAUUAUACUUAAAGGUUGAUUAGUGUUAAUUAAGUGUAAUUAGGUGGUUAGAUUAGAAUUGAUUAGUGAUUAUUAGUUAAUUGCUUUGCAUAUUAGUUGUGCGAUUAAUGUAAUUAGAUAGAGAAUUGCCUAUAGUAUUUAUUGGAUGUUUCUUGGGAUUUUUCCCGUCCCUUAUCGGGUGUUAAUUAAGCAAAUCGAGCCUAAGUGGAAUUUUUAGGAAUUAAAUAUUAAUUUUCGAAAUAAAUUAUUUAAUUAUUUAUUUUCCGAAAAUUCAACUUGGAUGACCAGUGACCGGAAUAUUAUGCUGAUGACCGUGGUGAAGUCCGUUUAUUUAAUCGGGCUUUAUCUUGAGCUAAAUCGAAUUUUAAUAUUUAUUAAUUAAUUUUCGAAAUUAAUUAAUUAUUUAAUUAUUUUUCGGAAAUUAAUGCUGAGGUGAUCGACGACCAGAAUUUCGUGCUGAUUGUCGUGGCGCAGUCCGUUUAUUUAUUUGAGCUCUACGUUGUGUGAAAUUAAAUAAAUUGUGAUAUUUUAGGGAUUUACCCUAAAUUGAUUGAAAUUGAGUGAAAUUGAAUUAUUGAUUGGUAGAUGGCCGAGUAUGGCUAGUUAGCAUUUGUACUACCUUGUUGAGCUGUAAGUGGAGAGAGUGAUGAGAACUAAUUGAGAAUUCUAUUGGCCAAGACCGAUCAAGUACGAAGUAUAGACAGGCGUGGUUUGGUGAUAAAGUACAUCACUGUGUGAAAACGGCGCCUUAAAGAACGCACGUAGACUGUCUAUGACUUAUGUAGGCGUGGUUCGGUGAUUAAGGAUAUCACCGUGCGAAAACGGCGCCUUAAAUAACGCACGUAGACUACCUAUGAAUCAUGACAGGCGUGGUUCGGUGAUGAAAGAUAUCACUGUGCGAAAACGGCGCCUUAAAGAACGCAUGUAGACUGUCAGUGAUUUGUGACCAGUGACGGGCGUGGUUCGGUGAUGAGGAAUAUCACUGUGCGAAAACGGCGCCUUAAAGAACGCACGUAGACCGUCUGAUACUUAUGUCACCUUGGCGAAAACGACGUCCGAGAGCAUUGAUGGAGCUCUGUGACUAAGUGUACUAUUGGAGGUUAUGUGGGAUGGAGUGAAUGACCUAGAAAUUAUUCGACUGACUUGUAAUCGACUAGGUCGAUUGAUCGAUGAUUCGAUCUGAGUGCGAUUCAAUGUGAUUGAUCAUUGCAUUGAUUUGAUGUUGCGAAUUGAUUGAUUGAAUGGAAAUGACCGUGAGUGGUCUUGUUGGCGUGUAAUCGAUUAAGUCGAUUAGAUCGAUGCUUCGAUCUGUGAUGUUAUUGCUUGAGUGCCUAUUUGAUUUGUGCUAAUAUGCAGGUGGAAUCUGAGGCCAAGGUAAGUCCUCUGACCCAUGUUGUGCAUAGGCAGCCCUAAGGUGUAUUAGUUUACUAAUCGGGUCUUAGGAGGUAGAACUUGCUGAGACGUUGUCUCAGUGGUUAUUGAAUAACCAUUUCAGGACCUGGAUGAGGAGCCUAAGGAGCAUGAAUCUGAUGAGGAGAUCCCUGUUGAGGAACCUGAAGAGGAGUACGUGGAGGAGGACCCCGAGGAUAACCCCGAGUACGACCCGGAUGAGGAUUGAGAUCCCGUCCUGUCUUGUCAAACCUUGUGUGUAUGUGAAUAGAUGUUAGACCUGAAGUGUUUAUAUGUACAUAAGGAUGUGGUUUUCAGGUUCAGGUUUCUAGUCCUACUUGUAUAUCCCAUUGCUUUAUUGUCUGGGGAUUUUUAUAACUGCUUCCGCAUGUGCUAUUAAAAAGGACAGGGUCGGCGAUAUGUAGUCCUAGGGAUAUCGCAUAAUAAAAUCGACCAAGCUUGAAGGAUGGUCACGUGACUGAGAGUCGGGGCGUGACAGUCAGUGUGGGACGGGUGAUGGUGGAUGGCAGCAGCUUUGAUCACUGCUUGGGGGAAGAAAAGCGGACGUGGAGCUGCGGCAGAAGCUGGAGUAGCUUCGGUCAACAAGAUGGGGAAGAGUUUGGUGGUUUGGUGACUUCGAUGAGGCUGUUUUGGUGGCUUGGCUCGCUGGGGAAGAGGGACGCGUGCAGAGAGAGAGAGAAAUUCAGUGGAGAGAGACAGCUUGCUUCGGUGAUUGAAAAUGAAGGAGAAAAUGAAAAGUAAAGCAGCAACCGAUGGAGGUGGAGUCGGCGAGGCCAGCUGGUUAGGCGUGCCGGAGAAGCUUUGGAUGGAGGGGAAGAAUAGUCAAGCAAAUAUCUAAAACCAUCAUUAGAUUACCAAAUAGUCUUCAAGCUUAUCCUUUCAAUUAAACCUUUGUCCCCCAAUACUUUCUUGCAAUAUAAUUCUCAAUUAAACCAAUUUGAUGACCAAUGUUGCACCCCUCCAUGCCUAGCUCCGAAUUUCCCUUAAUUUUGGAUUUCAAUUUCAUCCUCAAUUUCUCAAAUUCGAAGUCCAAUUUCGCCGAAGAAAAAUCCUACACAUCUCCACAAAUUCCCAUCAUCCAAUAGCUCGGCUUAGAAGCCCAAAUUUUCUUCAAUUGAGCCCAUCCGAAUUUCCGCUAUUUUUUUCCGCAACGUCUGAAUCAGUUUUCCAUAAAAUCUCGAACUCAACGAAAUUACUCCAAAAGAUAAGACGACAUCCUAUAAAUGAAUUGUGAUAUGCUCGAAUGUCCGAAUUCCGAAACCGAAUUCCAUUUCGUGGUUAAAAUCGAUCGAACGCAACUUUAGUCCGAUCCGACCUAUCAGGUAGCUUUUAGGAAUUUUACCGCGGUUAUAUCCCUUAACGGCUUCACCCAAUAGAUUGGUUAACUCGUGAGUGAUCAGCUCAGAGAAAAAGGACCGUAGGCGUGCUGGCGAAAUGCCCAUUUCAUAUAUUCAGAACGAGGUCGAAAUUCGAGAUGUCACAGAAAAGACCUACUUAAAAGGGACAUAACCAGUCCGAACACCCUCUCUUGACAGGUUAACCUGACACAUUCUAAUGAGACGCUCUAACAAUGUCCGAAAACUAGGCUACCAGUCAGUUUACCAAACCAACUCAUGACAAUCUCCUCUCUCUCAUAUUAGACCAUCUUGGAUAUCGAUCCAACUCCAAAAUGAUAGAUUUGGCUAGAGACUGAGUCACAAAACUCCUUGGCUCAAUGCUCUUGGCCAAGGUAUAGUGCUCAUAGUCCAUGUUGGCUCUCCCAACGUCUUGACGAGCACUCAUCCUCCAUAGACGCCAAUCAAGCUCCAAUAACCUUGUCCUUGCAAUGACAUAUGGGAUGAAUAUUUCUUGAUGUUGAUAUGAGUAGUUAAUUUGUGAUAAAUAGGAUUUCUAACCAAAUAUAUCACAAGUUUGUUGUCACAAUGGUUGAUAACACUUUUAUUGAGGGUAACAAUACAACCUAGAGGGGAUAAACAGGUUGUUUAUAAACUUUGAAAAACUUUUGCAGAACUUUUCAAAUUGAACAUUGAUAAAUGCAAAAACAUAUUAAUAUAGUCAAAUGCAGGAUGCUUCUAUCAAACAUAUAUUCCUAAUAGUGAAGAGAUAAAAAUAUAUAUUGCACAUAGAUAUAUAGUGAUUCAGCUUAUACCAAGUCUACGUCUACUCUCCAUGACUAACAUCCAUAACAAGGCUGAAUUCCACAAGUAAUUUUAAUAGAGGUUACAAAGUGCCGGUUCAAUAUGAAGCUAAUAGAUGGCUCUAGUACAUCGCCAUCACACUUGUAUACUUCUAAUCACAUAUUACCAGCACGAGAGCUCUUGCUUGUGAGAGUUAUUGACCUCCGAAUUUCGUUGAUACAUUUUUUUUAGGAAAAUUAAUUCACAAAUUAGGGAAUAUAAUAUUGAUGUCUCAUGCCCCAGCCAUUUAAGCAUCAAAAUCAAUAUUCCCCUAGGAUUUUUUUUUUUUUUAAGAGUGUUUUAGAAGCUUCAAGAAAUCUUGAGGUUUCUCUCUCUUAUAACAAUUUUUCGUUUGCUUUUGGCAAUAACUAACUCACAUACACAUGCAUAUUCACGUAUAUGGCAGAAAGCCUCAAGAAUGGGUUUUGACCAGAUGGGCAUUUUCAUCUUUGUAUAUGAGAGUAUAAAAGGAAAUUUCCGAUUCCUUCGUCAGAGAGGAAGGUAACAGAGACGCACGCACGCUCAUGCUAUCAAAAUAUUUAGUAUAAGGCGCGGCGAUGAAAUUAUACAUCAACUUCAACGGACGAUAGCUACAAUUUAUUGAGAAAUAAGUAUUGACGAAUUUGACCUUCCCAUGGUUUCCGUAACUAAGUUCUACACGUUACCUCGAUCAGCUUCUCCGCAUAUCUAUUUCUUUGAAACCACUCGUACCGCACAUGGAUACAUGUACAUGCUAUUUUGUCCUAUUCGGAGAAAAUUCCGACGUUAAAUUGGACGAUGUCGAUGGCAAGGAUCGCAAUUAUCAUAAAGAGAGUUAACAAAGCAUCAGUAUUGGACCACAUGCUUUCAUUUUGAGAUUUUUGUUAACCUGAUAUUGUAGGCAGAGGGAAAGCAAAUACGGUAAACAGUUGAAGUACUUUUAUUACCAUAAGACAGGACCGAGAUUAACCGAGAAGUUGGUGUAGAAUAGAUCAAAAUGAAAUGCAACUUCUACCCCCAUAACUCUGAAAACUCGCUUAUGUCCAUUCUCUUCAGGAAACAGGCUCUGUCGAAUCAGGAUCUAUAACGUGUCGUGAGCUUCUCGGGGCAGGGGCAACGUAGGGGCAGCAAAUAUCAGGCAGUUACGCUUGAAGAGUGGAAAAGGGAGGCAAAUAUCCUUGAGCUCACCAUCUGGGUCUCCUCCACUCGCACUUAAUAGCCUCCCUCUGCAAUUCCAAAUCUUUUCAGCAGUGAUAACGCCAUCCAUGGUAAGUUCGGAUGAUCGGUACUAUGGCGCAUCUCCCUUAAGCCACUAUGAUUGUUGCUUCUGCAACGCUAGUGAGAAGCGCAAGUGCACCUUCUGCCCCUCUCACCAAGUACUUGUACCCUUGUACGCAAGGUGGAUAAUCUUGUGUUAGAUGCUGCUUCGGUGCUCGGUGCUCAUGUAGUCAGCUUCUGAAUGAAGUUUUUCUGUAUUUCAUUUUUGCUAGCUGACCUCAAAGCUCGGACUCUUUCGUCAACUUUCAAGAACACUGAAAAUACAAGAUAAGACAACCUGCAUUAUUUUCUAUGGGGGGCACAUAGGAACCAGUUAGCGACCCUGCUUUACCACAUUCAAUGGGCAACUCGGUGGCAAGGGACUUCCAUUGUUCGAUGUCCUCAAGACUGUGUACAGUGGGGAAAUCGGUGCUUCUGAGAACCACCACCAAGAUAGUCAUCCUAAAUGGGAGCAACAUAUUGAAAAACGCAGCAUACUCCAUGAGGCCCCGAACACCAGCAUUGUGAAAGCGCGCUUUGAGCAACGUCGCCUGAAUGCCCCGAAGACAGCCAAAUAGAUUAGGCAGCCAGCUAGGAGGACCAGCGGCGUCUUAACUCGAUAGACCCUGGACUGGCGAAUCUCCUCCGUAUUCACCGAAUAAUUUAUGUAGAAAUGCUCUUCUAUUUUCGGGAAUGACGUUGGGACCAACCAUAUUAACAUGUUAAUCGAGGGAAAAAUUAUUCAAAAAAUUCUAAACCUAUUUUAUUUUUGUCAAUUCAAUUUUAAACAUUUUAAUUUUAUUAAUUCAGUUCUAAACUUUUUUAAUAAUUUGUCAAUUGAAUCCAUCUAGCCAAUUUAUCCUUAAAAAUGCUUACGUGGAUACCUAGUCAAUGCCGACAUGGAUGUUGGAAAUCAAAAUGACGACUUUUUUUUUUUUUUAAUUAUAUGUUUUGAUUACUUGCGCUUUAGCAGACAGCCUUGUGCGUCUCUGCCCCCCGCCCGUCUCUGCUCUUCGUGUGCAUCUCGGCUCUUUUUGCUCUAAAUCACAAGGAACGAAAUCCUUAAUUUCAAACCUUAGAAAAUCGUAGCCCCAAAUCGGGGAACCGGGGAUUUCUAUCUACCAGCAGCUUUCAAGGGAACUUGACAACGACGACUUAGCCUAGCAAGAGGAGGACAAGCCACAAUUGCGCGGUUCGUCGAGACCUGGUUCGACGCGAAGACCCAAUUCACCUAUACCCAAUUGUGACUCGACUCGGCCUUGAGAUUCUGCACCAAACCCGACAUUCAGGUAUGAUUUCUUUUGGACUCUGCCACUUUGCAAUGCAGUUUGUUUCAGCUUUUGUAUACACAAGUAGAGCCUGAGAUUAGUAGUUUCAUUUGUGCGAAAAUCAAUCACGAAUGAGGCUGCUUUAAUAUAUUGAGCUUCUGUUAUUUUAUAUUGUUAUACUUUGCAUUCAUAUAGAAUCACUAUCCACCUAAUAUUCAACCCCUUCGAUAAAAUGCCUAAGUGACAUACGAAUGUAUGUCUGUGAAAGAGUGAGUUUUACAGUAAUAUCAUUCGAUUUUAACCAUCCAAGAGCUAUUGGAACAUCAAUUUGAAUAGACCUUAUCGAAACAAUAUGUCAUAGCUUGUGGGUCACCAAGAAUAUAAACAAUCAAUCAAGUUGUUGUUUAUGGAUUUGUUUUUGUUAUGCAUUGUCAUUACCUUUUUGAUUCUAUGUUCUGUAUUGCCAUCAAGAUGAGUGUAAAUAGAUACAUGUAGUUCAAGUCAACGAAGUUUCAGAUAAUUAGAGGCUAAUCUACUUAUCUAUGUUACAUUUUCUUCUCAUAGCUUUAAAUUUUUAUUGUAACUGCUUCCCAAAUCUGUUGGUUACUGGGUUUGUAGCAGCUGGUGGUUCAAGUUUUGUUCGCAUGCUGAAGCAUUAAAAUAUUUAUAUUGCUUGAUUUACCUGCAUUGCUGGGGAUACGAUCUCAAGAAGUGUGGGGAAUGUUUUGUUUUGUUAAGUAGUAGAACCAAUGCAAGAAUAGAGCAAGCACACUUUAUUGGAUAGCAUCUUCAUCUUGACCUUCAUUAGUGGCAACGUUUUCCAGAGUUGCUUCUUGCAAAAUUGAAUUGAAUUUUCACAUACUAUUAACUAAUUUUGCAUGUAUCUGUUCACCUAUUCAUCAUGUUUGUAUAUUGCCUUGAUUAUUGAAAGAGGUACUUCAAAUUGUAAGUGGGAAGCUAUAUGGAUUGAAUCUGUAAGAGGUUUCUAAAGAUAGCUGAAUCACAGCAUCAGGAAAUCAGGUCAAGCUCAAAGAGAUAUUUCUUUUAUUCUUCCACACUUUGACAAUAUGGGCCACUUUAGACAGAUUCGCACGAGAUCUUUAAAAUGUCAUCCUCAUUAGGCUUUGGUACCAAAGGUUUCCUUGAUCUAUUAAGGCUUUGCAUCUCUCGAAUCAAAGAGAGUUCCAAUGAACACAACUCUGAGGAGGCUCUGGCUGAUAUGAACCAUUGUCAUUGGUCUCAGCUACAUCAAGUAAGCAGAUGCUCUGUCCUUGGAACUACACACACACACACACAUUGGCCUGAAUGACACACCAUAAAUGUUGUGAAUAAUAUUGAUUGCAUACUUAGUCUAAACAUACACAUGUCUAAACAUACACAUUCGAAGAUAGUUGAUGUCCCCAAACUUUGUUCAAUUAGGAAGAAGAUGGUUUCACACAAGAAGUUCCAGACGCAUCAGAAUUGAUGGAAAGUGGUAAGCCCGAGCUAAUUGUGGCCUUAGGGUUCUGAUAUGUGCAGAUAUGUUGUCAUGAAUUGGCUUCCAUUAUCAACUUAAUAAGUUAAAAAGUGCAGGUGAAUUGGAUGAGGUUGGAAGACCAGGGCCCUCAUUACUACAACAAUCCAGGCUUCCAAUUCAUAAACCUCGUGUGUCAUUCAAGGAGCAUCAACCCAAAAGCCCUGUAAACAGAGUUGAUGAAAAAACAAGAAGAGAGUGCAAAAAGCCCAUUGUAAGGAGUUCCUACUUUAAGCAUCAGUUGUGGAAUGAAACUGAUAGAAACAAGGAGAAAGAAACUACCGCGGUUGGAAGUGACCCAACGAGUGUAGGUGAGACCGUAUGUGUGAAAGGAAUGAUCAUAAAAAAGAAGACCUAUGCCGAUGACACGGUCGAAAAUGUAGGUGUAAACAGCAUUGAGGAAAAAACAAGAAGAUAAAACAGAGAGGUUAUUGUAAGGAGCUGUUAUUUCAAGCAUCAUGCGGAGGAAACUAAUAGAGAUGAUGGAAAGGAAAAUAUCCUGGUUAAAGGUGAUCAUCCAAUCAGUCUAGGUGAGACUGACUUUAUGAAGCAAGUGAUCAUGAAGGGGAAAACCUCCCUUGAUGACAUGUCGGAGAAAGGUGUAAACAGAAAUGAGGACGAAGCAAGAAGAGAGAACAGGAAGUUUAUCAUAAGGAGUUCCUAUUUCAAGCAUCAGUCUGCAAAUAAUACUGACAAAGAUGACGAAAAGGAAAACAUCCCUGUUGAAAGUAUCAUCCCAUCAGUCUAGGCGAGACUGGCUUUCUGGAAGGAAGGAUCAUCAAGAGGAAAGCCUCCCUUGAUGGCACAGCGGAAAAAGUAGGUGCAAUGCAAGCUCCCUUUAUCAUGAUUUGUUACCUAAAGUUAGAUAGUUUUCUUAACUCCUUUGCCCUGUGUUCUCCUUGUCUCAGGAGAGCUCAAAACAAAAGCGUAUGCAUGUGGAUGAUUCUCUUGCCAAUGAUGGUAUAUUGUCAACUGAAACUGCAUGAUUAAUACCAGUACUUGUUUAGCAAUUUUCUUGGUUCUUAAUCUUAACAUACUAUCAUGUUUGGCAUAAAUCUAGAUUGAUGUUGGUAGAUAUUGUACAAGAUACAACCUUCAAAGAAUUAAGGAUGAAAUUGCGAAAGCCGUUUAUUAUCUAACUAAUGAAGAUGCAUGCAUCAACAUGACAAAGCCAAACUGCAUUUUCUUUGUAGAGCUAAGCUGAGCUUCUAAUUGGUUUGGAACAUUCAAGCCCGAGCAUGCAUUUCAUGUUUAGCACAUAAUUUGACUUUUUAACACAGGAAAUCUUUUGCAUCGUUUGGUAUUUGAGUGUACAUGGAAUAAAGUCAACAUUACUGGGAAGCCAGAAAAUCUUGGGGUUAUGCCAUUUAUCAAAGGGAACCAUAAUGAUUUGACUCUACAUGUUACAAUACAUUUUAGCUCUAAAAAAAGGCCUCCUGCUUUAGCAGUGAGUUACAGUCCAUUUCUAGGCUCAUACUCUGAUGAAUUGAAUUCUAAAUCCACGACUCAUCUGCAUGUACUUUGAUUGUGAAAGUGAAGGCUCUUCAUCAGAGGGUUAUCUUUAUUGAUUACCAUUAUUCGGGAGUCCACCUUUUCUUUUGGGUUCUGGGGUGGCCUCUUUGGCAUUUUGAAGACUACAUAUUUUAAGAGUUCCCUCAGGAUGAAGUUUGAAAUCUAAUAUAUCUCUUGGCUUCAGGUAGCUGUGCCCCUGGAUUAGACAAGUCAUUCACUGGUUCUGAAGGAAAAUUUGGAGCCGACAUCUCCCGUUUAGGCCGCUAUUCUGACAUAGCAGAAAGUUCAUUAGAGGGAUUCAUCUCGGUAAUAUUGUCAUUUAGAUUCACUGCUUCUGGUUCUCGUGCCAGUGGUCUCCCUGCUCCUUUGAAGGAUGUGCACAAUGCAUGUACGAAUAGGUAGGAGGUUGAACUAGCAUGCUAAAAUUGCUAGAGACCUCUUGUUUAUAUUUUCGAUUUCUGGAUCACUUUGAUUGGAAUUAUCUUUGGAUUUCAUUCCGGAAAGGCUCAAAUACAGAGUUCUGAUAGACUGGGUUACAUGAUCAGUUUUGCUUUCCCGGUUGCAAGGGGCAAUGUGGGAUUCACAAUCACAUAGUAUUAUGUAAUGCAAUUUUUGCAGGGAAUUGUUUUGUGGGAAUGUGUAAAUGAUCCAGACGACAAGAAUUUGCUAUUCAUUCUCUUUUCCAAUUCAUCUGUAUGCCUCGAGGUUUGUUUUCUUCUUUUUAUUUUUUAUUUUUGCCAAAAACACUUGAAAGUCAUUCAUUAAUAAAGAAUGUCAUUACAAGCUCAAAUAGGUUUCUCCCUCAAUUUUGUAACAAAUAAAUUGCAAAAAGUUAGACCAUCGAGUUGAUCCUUCGCGCUCACUGCCUGACUCCUCAACAAAAAAGCCAUAACAUCAGAUCUCAAUCCAGGCUGAGGAGUAAACUGCCAUCCCUUAUUUACAGUAUUAUUAGAUCUAGACUAGUGUUCCACCUUCUUAACCAUCAAGAACUCCCUUAGAGCGUCCUUUAUCUAUCUUGCAUCCAUCUCAUGUAUUGAUCUUUUGCCUUGAAAAAACUGUUGCAUUCCUACCCUUCCAAAUAAAUCAACAGGUCUAGGUAAUCAAUCUAAGCAAGCAUUUCUUCUCAACGGAGCUUAUUGCCUGCUUUCAACUUGUUGCAAGAGUCGUCUGUCAAAAGACAUCGCCCGUGUCUUCUCAAUCUUGAUCCGGCUUGCCCCAAACCAUACUAACUCUACAAUACUCAGCAUAAACUCAGGUGUUCAGCUAAUUCAGCAAGACUAUAAAUCAACCACUCAGACGAUUGCUUAAUUCUCCUCCUAUUCGAACUCUCUUCUGCAGCUAAUGCCCAAGUGCAGAGUCCCCAAAUGAAAUGCGUACCUUUUGGAAUAUAGUCAAUACCCCCAAAUAAUCUUCUAGACCUUGCUGUCCUGUCGACCCCAAUAGAGCAUUAAGCCUGGAUUCGUCUACCUUCAAGGCUUUGGAAAGAGGGUCACUUGGCAAGCUGAUUUGACUGAGGAGCUGCCGUUCUUACAGCAAGGCCAUAGUAGUUUGUUCAAUUGCACUUGGUUCCAAAGCAUUUAACCCUUGAUAAAUCAAACUACCCACUCAACUGCUCAUCAACCAACUGGAAACAUUGCAGGCUAGUUUGCACGUAGCUUCUGUAUAGAUUUUUUUUGUAACACAUUUCCUUUUUCGUGCUUUUAGGAUUUGGAAUUAUGCACACUAUGGAUAGAAGAGUAAAUAAUGAAAAUUUAACUAGAAACGAGAGCAAUUAACAUUGGAGUCAAGGCACUCCAAAGAAAGGUGGUAUAAGUGCCAACGCCACCUUGUCAAGAACGGUUCAAGUCGAAACUCUCACGUGGGGUCAUCCAUCAAUCUUCCCUCUUUUAAUAAUGGUACGGAACAUCUGCUCACUCUUUUUUUUUUACUAAUUUUUAACAAAAAAGUUUAACAAGCAAUGAUUAAUUCACUAAACAUGUUGCAAAUUUGAGUCUAACCUUCCAUAAAAAUCGUAAUCAACUUGAAUUUACCAUAAAUCUCUUGUUCUUAUUCUUAGUAACUUUUUUUCUCGAUAGUCAUAGAUUCAUAGCUUUCUUUCACAAUUCAUAAACUUAAAGACCCUAUUAGUGACUAAUGGUUGUCAUAUGCUGUAAUUUUCCUUAAUCAAUAGUGACAAUGACAAUGUUACCGUCAAUAGUUAUUCUUAAAUGUUUUUAAUUACUGCCUUUUAAAGAUUAUCUAGGAAAAUUGUCUAAAAUGUUUUAAACUUAUCGUAUAGCGACUAAUUUAAUCCUAAAAUUUUUAAUUUGUCCAAUUUAAUCAUAAUAUUUUUGACAAUUAUCAAUGUAAUCCUUCUAACCAAUUUUGGCUAGAAAUUGCUAAUAUAUACGCCGGCUUCCUAAUAUGGCAUAGCCGGCGCCGAUAUAGAAUUUUUUAAUUUUUAAUUUUUUAAUUUCUCUCUUCUGGUUUGCCGCCUCAAUGGUGGGUGGUGGAGGUAUCCGGUCACGGGCAAGGGCAUCAGUCAUUCUGGCUUUCACUGGGAUGAUGGACCACCGAGGGAAUUAGAGAAAAAAAGAAAAAGGAAAGAAAAGAAAAGGAAAAAAAAGAGGAAAGUGAAAAGAAAAAAGAAUUGUAAAAUUUGUCUACCUCAGGGUUGGUUGUGUCGCGUAAAAAUGAUCAUUAAUGAUUUCUGGUAAAAUUGGCCAAAAGGAAUUGCCGAAGCCUUACUCCACUCGACCCUACGAACCAGGUAACGUCCGAUCUCUUGAGUUGUCCUGUUUUAGUUAAAGCUAAGUCUAGAUUUAGUGUCCUUCGUUAGCACACGUUGCGGGCUGGACUGAGACGUCUUUCACCGAUUCUGUGCUUUAUUUGUUAUCCCAUUUUGAUAUCGAGUCGCGAAUCUGAUUCUUAGAGAGCCGUCCUUCUCCCUAAUCUACACUCGUAAUCUGUUCGACAGGUUCAGUCUCAUUUUUGUCUAAACCGAGAGCAUAUUGGUCCAGAUUAAGUCAUGUUAAUUGGUUUUCAAAGUCUUUUCAAUGAUCGAGAGUGCUUUUUCUGCAUCCUCGUUUUCUUUGUCUUAAGCCCCGGGGUUACUAAUGGCGGUCGUCGGUGAGAUGACGAUCCUAGAUCCAGGGCCUAAAUGAUGAUUGUUGCAGGCAUCGGCAUUGGAUUGCUGGUCGUGUUUCUUCCCUCUAUUUGUUUUACUCGUGUUGUGGCUAAAAGAGAGGUGCUGGCCGAUGAGGGAGGUCAACACUGGUUAUUGGUGCGGGUCUUGCGAUGAACGUGGGCUUUUCAGCGAGUAGAGACGUUCGAGGUGGUGACCGGUAUUGAUGGUCGAGUAUGGUGGCCGACAGCGGGGGUCUGAUGAACGAAACUGUACUGGCCGACCGAGAAAUGUGAAGUUCUUGGCUGGAAUUUCUGGUGAUCUGGCGUGCCUGAAUAGAAGACAAUAGGAAGGCGAUGAUGAUGGGCCAGAAAGAAGGAGGUGAUAGUAUGAAAAUGGCCUUAGUACAGGCUUGUGUGCUGAUGUGUUGAGAUGGAUAUUCAUAUUGGUAGGCUGGGGCUUGAUUUGAUUUCAGUGAGUUUGGGCCCAAGGUAGACUUGGUGUGAUUAGAAGGCAAAAUGGGCUUGAUGGGUUUUCUUUCAGGAAUGGUUUGUUUAAAAUAAGCCCAACCGCGUCCAUGGCCCAAGCCUGAAAGUCCAGGUUUAGCCCGGGUCCUUAUUUUCAAUUAAAUAAAAAAUAAAUAUAAAUUUCGAAAAAUUAGAAAUUUUGGUUGGGAAAAUGUUAGGUUUUGUUCUCUUAGUGGAGUUCAUGCCAUUGAUCGUUUGUUGAUUCUUGUGCCCAAUUGCAUGCUUACCCAUGAGUUUUGAUAGAUUACAUUUAAUUUCGUUUAGGGAUGAGAUGGGGGACUAGAAUUUAAUUAGAGGUUGAUGACAGUAGCCUACUGCUUUGUGAAUGCAAGUGAGGGUUAAUAAUAAUUGAUUUUAAUUAAUGAACCCUUAGUUUGAUUAGGAGGUGGUUGGGGAAUCAAAUUGCAUGGGUGAAAUCAAAUUCUCAAGCUGGAUUGCUUGAUUGUUUGUUGAUUGAUGAACUUGCUGAUUGACUGUUUUGAUUGAGUGCAUGAUGGGAAUGUUGGAUGAAAUUGAUGUUAGAAACAAUUAAGGAUGGCGGUGAUCAUGAGCUUCUUGAAUACCGAAGGCUGAGAGUGGAGGUCUUUGGUGGUCCGAGGCGACACUUAGUUUAGCUUGGUGUAAUUUAGUUGAUUUCCAAUUAGGCUAGUUAUCUCGGUUUUCACUCAAUAAAACCAAAUUAAACUUAGAAUCAUUUUUCUAAAUAAGCAAUUAGAAUAGCUUAGAUUAGCUUCAACAUCAUAACAUAGCUAAAUAACAAAGCCAUAUGUAUAUUCUUUUUCCGACUUGUAUCGAGUUUUCUUUUCCAAAUUUACUUUAAAGUCAUUCAAUAUUGGAGCCCACAUUUCAAUAAAUUGUUGUUAAUUUCCUUCCUAAAAUUGUUAGGUCCAGUUUAGAAUCAAAUGAAAAACCACAAAAACAUUUCCUUGAUCACCUAGCACCUUUGAUGCCUUUAUGAUCAUAACUGAUAAUUAAGAUUGCAUGACCACUUAGAUAACAAUCUUCUUAGUUAGAGAUACCGAAAUGGCACUAAUAGAAGUUAGUGUAAUAGACAAACCUCCUUGUCUUAUUUGGUUCUUAAUUGACCCCAAAUGGCUAGUGGCUACCCCUAAGAUUACAUAGAAUAUUAAAAGAACUUUUAAAUAAAAAAACCAAAGUCAUGUGAGAUAUGGGCGUGGGAGAGUUCACUUUCCUAAUCAAUGGACCCCUUGGAUCCUUAGAAUCAUUUGGUUCGAUGCACCAUUUGGACUUUUUUUUUUUAAAUAGCAAUACCUCUAAAUCUAUUCUCGAGGUCCUUAGACCCCUUGAGAGGGUUUGUGACAAGUACGACUGUAUUAGACACAUUGAGGUAGAUUGACAUUUCAUCAAACAAAAUCUUGAUUCCAAGAUAGUUUGAUUUUCAUUUAUUAAAUCUGUACACCAAUUGGCGAAUCACUCACGAAGGUUAUUUCUAGCAAGAUCUUCUACAACUCACUUGGCAAGUUAAACAUUAGCGAUAUCUAUGCACCAACUUGAAGGGGAGUGUUGGUGUGAUUUGUCAAUUAAGACUAAUUGGAGAAAUUGUAGGGUUGAUUAGUUGCUAAAUUUGUACCGUUAAUGUCCUUAUUUUGAGGAUCAACCAUAUUCUUAGCCUAAGAUAGUGCAUAGUGGUAGUUAUUUCUCUAUACAAAUAUGUAUGCUAUCGAAUUCAUUCAGAGAGAGAUAAUGAAAAGGGACUAAUUCCUUAAAAUUAUCCAACUUGAGGUCCAAUCCAUAUUUUUCUUCCAAGUUUUAUUGUCUUGAAAAAAACUCCUAAGCUUUAGGUCCAGUCCAAAUCCACCCCAAACUUUUCUUUGUUUAGAAGAAACCCCCAACUUUAAAUUUAGCCCCAAAUUUACUCUAGUCCUAAAUCAUCCUCUAUUAACCCUUUGUCCAAAACUCGCCGUUAGUCGUCUCUAAUUUUCAUAUCCUAGAAUAAUUUCAUUUUAUAAAUAAUUUUUCAUGUCACCUUGUUGAUGUGGAAAUAUCAUGUCAAGUUUGGAUUGGAACACGAGGGUAGAUUUAAGAACAUAUUGAAAAAUUUGGUGUUCUUUUUUAGAAAAACAAAAUUCAGGAUAUAUUUGAGAUUGGACCUAAAGUUUUGAUUUUUUUUUUUCUGAGACAAAAAGAGAUUCAAGGUAGAUUUGGGACUGAAUAUAAAGUUUUGGUUUUUUUAGAGAUAAAAAAAAGUUGUGGACAAAAUUGAGAUUGAACUAAAGUUGAGGGCUUUUUAGAGAAUUAGACAUAAUGGAAAGAGAAAAACGUAUUUGUUCAUCAUUAACAUCCUAUAUUCACAAACUAAUUCAAAAAAUCAACUAUUUGUCUAAUAAAUCAGCUACAAGUCUCGACAUUAUCUUUAAUGGACUUCAAUGUCGUACACCGUCAGUUGGGAACAAACCUCGACCUCGAGUUUUAAAAUGUUCGAUUAUCCUAUCGCACAAACAUCUGUCAAUCUACAUCGGCUUUGGAUCAACGCCUUCAAAGGCAGCGGCUUUUUAUAGCUUUAGAAAGCAUUCCAACGAAACUCAGCAAGUGAAUACUCAACUGAAUCUUCAUAUUUUAUUAGCAUGACAAGUGCUUGCUUCUCUUUUGCAACUUCUAACAGAAUAUCAAAGUCCUCAAAUUCGAAACCAUCUAUCUUUCCUUGGAACUUCGAGGCCCUCGACUUUUUGCUGUCAAGGCUCGUGAACAACACUUUAAAGGGACGAAGUUUAAAACCAUCGGCUUUCCACGAAGUUAUUGUCGAGAAAAUCUGGCCCGUGCAUGGACAUGCUUGAUCCUCGAAUUUGUCGUGAAAUAUUACAGUCCCCAAGGCUCGUAUGCCCAAAUGCUAUUUUGCCGCCGUAAACACGUUUGAUUGUAUAGUCCCAACGCCAAAUAUGGUCUCCUUAACAGCCUUCGCUUGUUUUCCCAAAGCCAUUGGCAGAGACUCUUCAUCUCGGUGACGAUCUUCUAACAAACGCUCCUACGAGGCCAAAGUACCACAAUUUCAUCCUUCCGUUCUUGAGAAUCUGUGUACACGAGAAAUCUAGGAUGAGCAUUGGGUCCAGUUUGAUUCUAGCACCUACCUGGUCGAUUCGAUCCCCAGCUGAUUCUCGGGAGAACUGGACAACGACCAAUUUGAUUUCCAUACUAGGGCCAGAACAGCCAGCUCCGGAAAUUGGUUUUAAAGCUGUUAAUACUUUUGCAACCAUCAAUAUUUGAAUCAUGAUUUCAGUUUGAUCAACUAACCACAAAACCAGGAAUCUCCUUGUAAUGAAAUAAUGCAACUUUUAUUUUUUAUCGUAAAAGUUCGAAUUUUUACCCAAAACAUAGUGAUAAGUUGGUUUCCGGGGUACCCAAGAACCGGACUAGAACCCAAUUGUUUUUGGAACUGAGGGUCUACGUGGCUACGACUCUCGCUCAAAUUUCUUCACCGCGCUACUUUCAAGGAAGUACCGUGCGGCCAUUGAAUCACCGUCUCACUGCGUGGCUACGACUCUCGCUCGAGGAGCCCACUUGCGGCCGGACUUGAAAGAGAAAGGGACGACCUGGGGUUUGAGCCAGAAAGAACUUUGCUUUUGUCUUCUCUCAUAAAGACCUUUUCACACCCCCCCCCCCCCCCCCCCUUUUGUCUUGUUGUGGCGGAGGACCUCUUUCCUCUCUUUCGUCCAACCUUCAGCAAAGGUGAGUACAACUCCUGAAUUUCAUUGUGCUGUUAAACUUGACAUUUAUCCAACCGAGUCGAGUUUCAACCGUUCAAAUUUGAAAUAUAAUUUAACAUAAAAUACAAUUUAUUAUUGACGCAAUCUAAUUAUUGUAUGUGUGAACUAUGAGUGUAGUAUACUAAUUCUUAAUAUCCUAAAACACCUAGUAUGAACGAAUUGAAAUCCUUUGAUCAUAGAAAUGACACAAUAAGAAUAACAAAAGAAAUCUGAAAAAAUAAGGAAAAGAAAUAGUAAUGAAUCUUUAAUUCUAGCAUUUAGUACCACUAUGAGGCUGAAAAUGUAAUUCAUGGUUUUAAAUGUAGCUUCCUAUUCAAGCGACCGUAGAAAGAUAUAAGUCUUGGAAAAGUAGCUUCCCAUUCAGGCGACCGUAGAAAAUUAUGAGUCCUGGAAAAGUAGAUUCCUAUUCAGGCGACCGUAGAAAGGUACGAAUCUCGAAAAAGCAAUUUUCCAUUCAGGCGACUGUAGAAAGGUACGGAUUUUUGAAAAAACAAAUUUUCUAUCAAGGUGACUGAACAAAGGUUCGGGUUCUAGACAACCGAAUAUUACCAUACUAGGCAAUCGUAGAAAGGUACAGAUUCUUAGGAAAGCAACUCUCCUUUACAAAACCCUGUUACUAGUUUGGGCGAUCGUAUAAAGGUACGGGUCGUGGAUGUAUAUCACCAACUAUCUUGAAUUACUCUACCCUCCAUAAAGGUAAGUCAUUCUAGAUAAGUUUCUUUAUUGUUUGCAUUAGCAUUUUCAUGCAUCAUAUAAAUUGCAUUUUAAAAGGAUUCAUUUUCUAACAAAGAAUCAUUUAUUGCAUGUGCAUAGUCAAAAUAUCUAUAAGGCAACCUCUACUAGCUCACUUUUAAAAAAGGGUAGCUAUUAACACAUAAAUUUUGACAACCCGAUUAGUUGUUUAUUGCAUUAAUUUUUAACCCUUAAACAAAAAUAUUAGAAUUAAAUUGUGUAACAUAUAAUUUUAGUAGCAUUUUAAUUGCAUUUACAUUGGACCGACGGCGGAUGGACUUAAUUAAUUGGCCUUGAAUUUUAUUGAGCCCAUGAAUUCAACCAAGUCCAUGGAUGAGAAUCACAUUAUGCCUUUCACAUGAUGGCUGAAGCUCAUAUGAUAUGAGGAGGAUAUUGCAUCAUCAAGAGAAUAUUGCACUGACUUCAAAAAGGAAAAGAUGUGAUUGCAAGUGAGGUAAUAUUCAGCCAAGCAAAGGGGAAGGAAGAGAUAUAUUUGUCCAAAGAAGAAUAAGUUUUCUCACAUGUAAAAGUGGACUUGAUAUAUAUUAAGGGAGAUAUUCUUGGUCAAAAGGAAAUCAUUCAUGAAGAUUAGCAGCACGUUAAGCGUGGAAGAGAACAAAAUAGCAAAUCAAGAUUAUUUCUCUGUAGUUUAAAGACAAACGGGAAAGAGAAUUUGGAGAAUCUUUCUAAAUAUUUACCCUUCUGUUUUGACGUGCAGAGUGAACAAUAUAUGUUGCGGAAUAUAGAUCAACGAAUCAAAUAAAAUAAUCGGAAGGAAGAAAAGGAAAUCGAACGCCGGAUUUACGUAGUUUAGUCCGAAUAUCGGAAUCUAUGUCUACGGGGAGAGCAGUACGGAAUUUCACAAUAGAAACAAGUGAUACACUGGAGAUUACAAUCACUCGAGUACUCAAACACACUCUCGGUGUUUCUCAACCUUAAAUUACACCCAAAUAAUUUAUACAGUAUUUAGCUCAUCAUAAUUCUUAGUGAAACCUCACUCAAUGAAUUAAAUAAAUUCUAUUAAUAAGAAUUUAAUUGGCUAAAACACUCGAGUAUAAUUCCUCACAUAAGAGAACUCUCUGUGCUCUUAUACGGUCUCAAAGCUCUCUCUCGACUAUCGAAAUAACUCGGCGCCAUCUUCUCCUUCGCUCCUCUGACUUUUAUAGAGAAUCCAUCUCAACAGAUGGGCUCCACGCGGCUUCCUCUUUUUGGCUUGGCAUGUUGGAGUCAUUCUUCACGUGAAAGAAAAGACAAAACAAGCCCACCAUAAUCCAUGGGCGUCCAUACAUGUGGAGAGAAGAAAAAAUGGGCGUAUGAGCCUUUCUUUUCUUCUCUCUUUGACUCCUGCAAUGAAUGCCAUCAUUGCACUUUUUUUCAUGCACGCCAACUCCGCAGCUCUCUUGAAUAAGUCCAACCUGAGCAUUAUUCUCCCUUGCACUUCAGCCGAAUAACAAAAGACAAAUAACUUCUAUUUGCAUCAAAUACAAGGAGUAAUUUUGGACUUUCCCUCUUAAGGCUGCACGCUUCAUUCUGUCCACAUUCCUCAUUCUUGAACGAGGCAUGUGCAUAGUAAUUAUUGCACAAACAAACAAAGUCAAAAAGGCGUUCUCCAAAAUUACUCGGUUUAAUUUGAAAUGUUGAAAUGCGAGACAUAUUUUAACAAUAUAAAAGGAGACAAAGAAGAGGUUCUGGAGAAGGCCACGCAAUUCAAUAUAAGGCCACAUAUUGAAUACAUGACCACAAUUAAAGAGAAAAUUGAGAGGAAAAGACAGGAGAUGCUUGAAAUCUUUUGCAGAAAAGACAACACGAGAGAGAGAGGGCUGUCUUCCUCCCUGGGGCGUGCCUCCUCUGACACAAACGGUGCCACUCUUUCCUUGCGCCUUCAGGACGUGUGAGUUUCGUGAACAGCCACCGUGAGCCAUCGUCGAUCAUCCUUAUUGUAAUUCUCGUGAUCUGUCAUCCAUCCAAAUUUAGCGACAAUAUCUGAGUGAUAUCAUAAAUUAGGUAAGAAUCAUGAUCAAUUUAGAUUGUGGUGUAGUCGGUAUUGAUAUAGACAAUUUUAAUAAUAUUAUUUUUUUUAAAUUAUUACAGUUGAUAUUAAUGUAGAUAAUUUUAAUAAUUAUAAUUUUUUGAAUUAUUAAUUAUUAAUUUCUUUUUCUUUUCAUUUUCCUCUUUUUCUUAUCUUCCUUCUCUUCCUUUAGCCGGUUGCGACCAGAUUGACCUAGGAAAAAGAAAAUAAUAAAUAAAUAAAUAAUUUCAAAAAAUUUUAAAAUAGAAUUUUUGGUAAUUUUCCCCUUUAAACACAAUAAUGAAAUUUUUUUUUCUUGAUAUCACUUUCAUUUGUUUUUCAUCUUCUUGAGACAGCUGAAAAUGAUAAUCUAGUCCAUCGCACGGAAUGUUUAGCGGAUCUACUGGAAACGAAUUUUAAAGUUCUUUUCGAAGGAAGUGGUUUCGUUUUGGUGUGUCUGAGUGUCCUUGACAAAUAUAUAGUAGUCAUUUUCUGAUACUUUUUUCUUUUUUUAAUUGAAAAACACCGAAACAUAUAGACUUGAGUGCAAUCAAGGGACCAACGUCUUGGAUCAGGGUCUUGGGUCUAGGCUACCAAGCACCUAAGUUUGGGCGCCACAGACAUAGGUCAAGGUUGCAGGAUCAGGAACCGGCUGACGGGAUCUGUGUUCGGGCGACGAGUACCCGAGUCUGGGUUGCCGGAAGCCACUGAGAAAUUAGUAUUUGGGUCGGGGCAUUCUUGUUUUGUGUGGUGCUAUUUAUAUAUAAGAAAGAUAUAAUGAUAGCAAAAGGUGUUAUUUAAUUAUUCAAACAAAGAGGAGUAUAGCAAAAGAGGAGAGACAUCAAUUCAUGAAUGUAUUGCGGGAUCGGAGUAUCUUAAUGAUAUUUUUUUCCCUCAGUUAUGAAUUAUAUAGCUCCACUAGAUUAUUUGUUUGGUAAGCGAUCCAAACAACGAUAACAAUAUUACACAUCACAUACUUUCAGUUUCUCAAAGAAGUGGAAAAGACAGAGAAAUUCUUAUUCAGAAAAUCACAGGCAAAAACCAUUUUCCCAACGAAAAACUAAUGAUAAAUUUUUCUAUACUUCAAAUUGUAAAAUAAAUUUACAAUUCUAUGAAGACCACGUCACCCUGAUACUAUGCUGCUCCUAUUUACUUUUGAUAUAUAGAUAUUCUCGUAUAUAUUUAAACUAGCAGGACAAAUGUGUGUUGCACGGGUCUGAGUUUACAUUUGCUAAAUAAUUUUAAAUUAUUGUGUUGAUGUGUAUUUUGCUAGAGGAAUAAGAUGCAGAUAAUUAUAACAAGAACGAUAUUCACACCAAUCAAUGCCUGAAAUUCUAUUUAAAGUGGAUCUGAACCCCAUCAUAUCGGUUUAUUCUCCGAUUUUGAGAAACAUUAGACACAAAAUUGCAACACUUAUAUAAUUAGAAUACGGCACAAACUAUUUCGAACACGUAAAAUAUUAUGAAUUAAUUAAAAAGAAAAAUUGAAAGCAUAAAGUGAGAAUGUAAAUUCCCCCCUCUAAAUAGCUUUCCUACAUUUGUCGGAAUCUUAACAUUUUUACCAUGAGCUUGGUAUAGAAAGGGGGACCAUAGUAUUUGUACAUCUUCGUGAAAGCAAAGUACUUUCUUCUAUCUACUCCAUAUGACCAUUACUAUUUAUAUGAAGUUGGGAAUAACUUCUUCGAGAUUAUUUUUUAAUCUGGUCGACUUCAGUUGCCUUUUCUUAAAAAAGAAUACGCUUCAUUUUAAUUUUUGUAAUCAUUUGAUGUCUAUCUUACUCUUUCUCUUUUGCAAGAACUGAUGGAAAUGCCAUCUUCUAAGAUAAAUGUAUGUAUUUUCUGACCAAUAUAUAUAUAAUGCGCAUCAUCAUGAAAUAAGCAAGAUUCAAUUUUUAUUUAAAAAAAAUCAAAAUAUAUUUCUACAAGAAUGCAUAUCUAGGAUUCCAUUGAUCUAUUUUCAGCAUAAGAAUAUUCACAUCAUUUUCUUGACAAUAUUUCGUUUCCAACGGGUGGUUGUAAUUAAAUGGGGGCAUUUAUUGAUGCUUCAAGUAAAUUAUUUAUCCCAACCUUUUAAAGUUUAAGAAAGUUAUAUCAAAAUUGGUUAAUAUUUUUCUAUUUCAUUAGUUUUAGUUGGUUAUGUACACAUUCAUAUUGCAAUAAUAAAUAUCUUUUGUUACAUUAUUUACAAGAGUUCUCACGGUCGCCUCACGUGUGCCCAACUUUUUCUUAAGAUGAUAUUGUAAAUUAUAUUUGCUAAAUAUAUUUAGUGAUGUCAUUGUAGAUAUCAGAUGAAAAUCAUUGUAUGAAAAACUAUAGAUUAAAAUUUAUGCAAUGACCAUAGUAUCUGUAAAUCAUAUCGACACUUUUGUAAAAUGAGACAAAAUGGUGAUUAUAUUUGCAUAGAAAGAAAAUUGAGUUUUUACUCAAUGAAUGAGGGUUACAUAUAGCAAUUGAAAUUUCAGAAAGUGAAAAUGGAGAUAAAUGAUGAUUUUGACUUUAAUUUAUAGAUUUUGAGAACCGCCAAGAAACAAUUUUGUGCACAAAAGCCUGCAUGUUGUCACUAGAUGUAAGCCCUCAUUGCGCGGGUUAUUUGUCAGGAUCUAAAAUAUGUUUACAUCAAAGUGAAAUAAUGUGAUAUGCAGUUGUGUACAUCUAUAUGAAAAUGAAAGUAUAAAAUGUUUCCUUUAAAUUUCAGUUUAUCUCCAUUGUGGAGAUUUAGUCCGAGGGAAAGUGAAUGUAUUGCGUAGUAUAGUGAAAGAAUUUUCUUUUUCAACUUUGGUUGGAAGUACGUUGAAAUCCUCAUCAAUUUACACAGAUAAGACUACUUUCAGAUAAUGAAAGAUAAACGUUCAAUCAAUCCCUUAACUUCCGGUAACAAAAUCCAAUACGUCAUUCGAUAAAUUCACAAAUUUCCAUAAUUACACUAUUGCCCGAAUGUUUAAUAUCUUUUAAUUCCAUCCAUAUCCUAAACAACAACAAAAUUCUAUCCAUGUGUUACUUUUUUACGUUUUUAGUUUUUUCAUUCAACUGUGUUUAGCUUAUAGUCUCUAUAAUAAAAAAAAGUAACACCUCAUUUAGAGAUAUGUUAGAUUGAUGUUCCCGCUACUUUAAUUUUCUCAUUUAUAGAAUUAGCUAAACUUAAUUAAGAAUAUAUGAAACACAAAAGCUUAAAUUUUUUAUAAAUAUCACAAUAAUUUAAUUUAAAUGUGUUCUAACUUAUGGUCUUUAUUAUAGUAAAAUUAGAACCUCAGUGAGUGUUUUGUCGGGUUGAUGUUCCUGCAAUCUUAAUCUCCUCAUUUAUAGAUUUAGCUAAAUUUCAUUAAAAAUACAUGAAACGCAAAAACUUAAAAAUUUUAUCUAUGUAAAAUAUUGAGUUAAACACUUAUUUUUCAAGUAAAAGGAUUAAUAACCCAAUAUAACUCUAAAGAGGUUUAAUUUUGAUUAUUAUUGAUAUCAUACAUAUACUUAUUUGAAACUAUUGUAACAUUUAUAAAUACUAAAAUUGUAAAAAGGUAUUAAAAGGAUAGCAUACGUGUUGUUGAUUUACGAAAUGAAUUGAAUUGAAAAAAUAUUCUAAAAUUUGGGUAAUAGUGUAAUUAUGUAAACUUGUAUAUAUCAAAUGAUUGAUUUCACUUGGUUAUGAAAAGUUGAGGGAUUAGGUUGAAUCAGUUGAAAGCUUAGGGAUUAGAUUGAACAUUUAAGAAUAAUUUUAGGAGCACAUAAGACGAAUUAAAAAUACAAGGAUACUAUACCAAAGUUUAGAAAUUAUUAGUAUUUGAUAAUUGAUACACAAUCCGACUGGUAGGACAAACAUUGACCCCACUGAGUUGGCUUUCCCCAAGUUACCAAUUUGCCCUCAUUGAGCCAAGAUAGUGCCAUGUUCAGCAGAUGGGGUGCAGCCACCUUCAUUUUUCUUAAGUUUCCGUUGUUAACAUUAUUUUUGUUGGUAAAUAUAAUCUAAUUUUCACAUGAUCAAUGAAUUAAAUUUGCUUUUCAGAAAAAUUAUUAAUUUUAAUUUGAAAUUAAAGAAAAAAAUAAAAAAUAUUCAUUAUUUAUAAUAUGAAAUUUUGGUGAUAUUCAUUAUUUACAAUAUGAAAUUUUGGUGACUUACAUUGAUACAAAACUGUAUUACAUUUAUAGACCAAGGUCCUCUCCUACUGCAAAAAUUUUGAUUUUGCUAGAAAUGUGUUACAAAAAGCGUUUUCAAGGAAAAUGAUUCAAUUUUCAUGUGUUGAUUUGAAAAAAUGAACUAUAAACGUUAAUCCAUAUUUGUUAUUUUUUGACAAACAAAGUGGCUUCGAGCAUAAAAAAUCCUAGCGUCAGUUUCGGUUUGGUGGGGACCCUAGCUUAGUUUUUCAUUGAAUGGAUGUAGGGGACAAGGUAGCUGAACCUCGUACUUUAGCGGAUGGAACUGGAAAUCUAGGGCACAUUUGGUAACGUUUCUGUUCAAAAACUAUUCCGGGGAACAGAAAUAGAAAAAAAUGUUUCUAUUCCGGGGAACAAUUUUUGACCAAAAAGAUGCGUUUGGUAAACUUGUUCCGGGAAUAAAAAAUGAAUAGAAACACAUUUGGUAAAUUUAUGUUCUUUUUUUGUUUCUUUUAAUUUUUUAAUAUUUUAAUUUUAUUUUUCAUUUCUUUCUUUCUUUUUUAUUUUUUUCGCCCAGCCACGGCGAGGCUCGCCGGCCCCCGACGAGGCCGAGCCUCGCCGUGGUUGGGCGUGGCUCGGCCUCACCGGAUCUGGGUGAGGCUCAAGGCGAGGCUCAGCGUCGCCGGCGCACAUGGCGAGGCCGAGCCUCGCCUUGGCUAGGCGAGCUCGGGCUCGCCCAGAUCCAGCUAGUUCCAGAGACCAGUUUUCAGCUUGAUAAUAUUUUUGCAAUCAUCAAGACUUGAACCAUGAUUUCAAUUCGAUCAAAUAACUUCAAAACCGGGGAUGUUCUUGUAAUGAAAUAAUGCAACUUUUAUUUUUUAUUAUAAUUUCGAAUUUUUACCCAAAACAUAAGAAUAAGUUGGUUUCCAGGAUACCUAAUAACCGGCCUAGAACCCAAUUGUUCUCAAUUUUUGAAACUGAGGAUCACAUACCUAGAAAAAUCAAAUCACUUCAGUGAGCCAAUCCAUGAUGUCUACAGUAUUUAGACUUCCAUAUAAGGUCGGAAUGUCCACUUUCAAAUUAAACUCCUCCUGUCUUCGAUGGUCAUGAUCAUCACCGCCCCUAUUCCUUCGAUCGUCGUCAAAAUCGAAAUGACGAUCCCAUAACGACGAUCCCACUGCUCGUUGGGGUUGUCAUAAUUACCCCUUCUUCCCAUUCGCGAUUCCACCGACCUCCAUCCCCACCAUGACCACCUCUCCCUCGCCGUGCGCUAUACCCAUUCCGAUCGAAGGCUUCAUCAAAAUACUCAUCUCUGUCUCGGCCAUAGCAGCGACCUUUGUGUUGAAUUCCAAAUCGUCUCCAUCCCCAUGUAAAUCGAGAUAGGAAAGUAGCAAUUCAUAAAUUAUCUUUCCCUAAAAAAUGUGUUAUUAAGUAUCAAUACGUGCUUAACAAAGUUGAAGGCUAAUUUGCUCAAUUAACACAAAAGGGUGUGUUUUAGCUAAAAACGUUUUGGAAAUAGCACCCCUUCAAAUCACUUUGAAAAAUUAUUUUAUUGGAAAAUAUGUUUAUCAUCAACAACAAUAUAUAUCUAGAUAUUUUCGUUUAAUGAUGAAAAUAUUUUGCGUUAAUUUACUUUGUAAGCAAUACAAUCAAUUAUUAUUAGGAAUUUUUUUUUUCAAAUUAUUGAUAUAAAUGAAUCAACAUACCCUAAUGCUCUGGUUGUUUUGCAGAAAAUAAUUUUUUAGGAAAAUAUUUUCUGAAUUUUCUAUUAUUCGUUUUACGGAAAAUGAAACGGUCAGGGAGAAUAUUUUCCAUCAAUAGAAUUUUUUUUUUCUAAAAUAGAGGAAAACAUAUUCAUCACUUACUCUCUCUUAUCUCACACCUCUCCUCGUAUUCUUCUUCUUCUUCUUCUUUUAAAUUCUAAUUUUUAAGAAUUUUUCUUUUUCUUUUUUAAUUUUUCCCUCUUUUUUUUUUUUUUUUUUUUAAAAGAAGAUAUUUUCUUACUCAUUUUCAAGUUUCAGGUGAACCGGUGAAUAUAUCCCCCUAACCAAAGUGAAUGAAGGAAUCUCUUUGCCCUCUAGCUGAGAAUAAGGGAUCGAACUCUCAGUCUCAGGUUUGGCAUUAAGCAUGGUGAAAUCUUUCUAUCGACUAUUCCCAGUGUCAGACUCGAUAAAUAAAGAUAAGUACAUGAAAAGUGCAGUAGCAAUAAAUGCAAGAAUAUUUACUUGUGACCUUGUAGGUUUAUUACUUAUAUGUACAUCAUUGUCUUUUGGUGGGUCUGCAUUCUCGGGCCUUUUCGAGUGACCAGAAUUUGACCCUACUAGUUAGAAAAUCAACGUUUUUGAUGCCCUCGAUCUCUUGAGCUCAUUCAAGGAAUAAUUUUAUGUGGUGGAGGAUUGAUGGUCAAGGGUAGAGACUUGAACAAGAUGCGACUGUUACAAGACAUUUUAAGAUGGCAAAAGAGCAUACAUUAAUCACCUCGCAUUGAAGAGAGUGUAGCUAUUCUAACCACAAGCGGACCUAACGAGCAACAUGUAUUUUCUGUAUAAUAAAUUCAGAUGAAAGUUCUAUAUUAAGCCUGCUCAAAUGACAUGAUUCUAGACGUGCCUUUUCUUUGUUUGGUCAACUUCAUUAGAGAUGAAGAUUUUUAAUGCCCAGGACAAAUUUAUGUGGCUAUAAAUAAGAGUGCAUUUGGUUCAGCUUUCUCAAUAGACUUUCAGCUUCUAAGGAACACUGGGGAAAUGUUGGAGCAUUUAACAAGUAUUUGAAAUAACUUUCGGUCAAAUGUUGGCAUUGGAAAUGCUGAAGGCCUAAUGUUACUCCCACCUAGCAUUUGCAGAAUGUUGAAACUAGAAUUAAAAUAGCUUUUUCCUUUCAAAACUAUGCUCACAAAUUCUUGAGUUUUUUUAGUUUUGCGCCUUCUUGUAACUGUUCAUCUUCUUUGCACGAGGGUAGUCGACAAGGCCAAAUUUGGCCGGUGAAGGGCUAGCAAGGGUUGCCUCAACUGACGAUUGCCGGACCAAAUUUGUCUUACCAGCGGUCGUAGCCCUUUGCCGGCUCCGGUGAAGGGUUUGAGUUCUUCUUUAAUAAGAAAAUAUAUAAAAUACAUCUAAAUCCCAUUGCCAUAAUUUUUUCGCCAAACACUACUUGAAUCCAAAAAAAAAAAUUAAAGAAUUUUUACCAAACAUAAUUACAUUUUUUCAAAAGAUUUUGGCUGUCAGUGUUUGUAUUACAUAAAAUGCAUUGGAUUGGUUAGCUUUCUUAAUUGGGCCCCUUUUUACAGUGGCUACCCUCUUCAUGGUGCCAUCUCCAUCAACCACGUGAAAGCAUAACUUUAUGCAGAACCUGAUGUCUUUUUCACCAUGCUGGGUGAACUUCUUAACGAACUUUAGCCGACAGCUAGUGGAGCCAGAUUUGUCUCACCAACAAUCAGUUUGAGUUCUUUUUCAAUAAAAAAAAUGUAUAAAAUAAAUCUAAAGUCCAUGGCAAUUUUUUUUUUGCUAAACAUACUUGAAUCAAAGUUCCUCCAUAAAGAAUUUUUAUCAAAUACAAUUUAUAUUUCUUUAAAGGACUUUAGCUUUCAAUAUUUGCAUUACACUUAAAGUUGAACUAAACCUAUCCUAAAAUGCAUUCUACAGUUAGCUUUCUUAACUAGGUCCGCUUUUAUGGUGGCUACCCUCUUCAUGAUGGCAUCUACCCUCUUCAUGGCCCUCUUCACGAUGCCAUGUACCCUCUUCACGUGAAAGCGUAACUUUUUUCUGCACCUGGUGUUGUUUUUUUCUAUGUCGGGUGAACUUUCAAAUUGACAUGAAGUUUUUGGACAUGCGGGAUAAUGACAGAUUUAUGUACUAGCUACACCCUCUUCGAUAUGUUAGUCAUAAUUCAUGCUGGUCCCCCGUUCUAAAAAUUUAUAAGGAGCCAUAUCUUAUUGAGGCUUGAGCCUUUGAUGAUUAAUCUCUGUCCAGAUUUAAAGUGUUAGUAAUAUAUUUAUGCCGAAGUUACUUAUGAUCGCGCAAUUCAUGUCAAUUUGAAAGGACAAGAAAAAAUAAAUUAAGAAUAAUAAAGGACGACAAGAAUUUAUGUGAUUCAAUAUUGAGUGUUGAUAUCUACAUUUAUGGGAAGAAAAAUCAUAAAUAAUCUGUUAAUAAUCGAAGAAUUAGAGUCAUAAAUGCCCACACAGUGAAGUAUUUUUCAUAUUUAAAUUGAACCUAAAUAAAAUAAUCAAAGGCACAAUUCCAUCGGGUGUUACGAGCUCUGUCCCCGGCCACACGGGUGAUCUCUCCGUGCAGCCAUUUCUUCGCGGCGCAACUCUAAGGAAGUUACUGUGCGGCCAUCAAAUCCCUUUCUUACCGUGUGGCUGCGACUCUCGAUGGAGGAGCACACUUGCGGCCGGCCUUGAAAGAGAAAGGAGCGACCUGAGGUUUCGGCCAGAAAAAAGAUCUUCAUAUGUUUUACUUUGUUUUUGUCUUCUCUCGUAAAGACCUUUUCACCCCCCACGCAAUUGAUAUAAUAUUUGAAUAAUGUGAGCCCCUUCUAUUAAAUUUUACAGGUCCUUAAAUGGAGGUGCACCACGUUCGUUUUGGGUGGCCACGGGAGACGGAGACCUAGCGUACCAUACUCCCUAUCCACGGGAACCCCGAAUGGACCCGUGAGCUUGUCGUGACUAUCAUUUGGGUCGAUGAUGGCCUACCUCAAUUGGUACCUUACUGAUUCAAAGCAUGAUUCUGUCACGGGCACAAUGAUGUUCGGGAGAGCCCCUUGGAUGGCUUCAAUAGACCUACCAUCGAUGAUGAGUAUGUGGAGGAUCUUGACCUUGUCGUGGACGCCGAUAUUAUAGCUGAUAUCGAGGCAAAUCAGUUACCCGAGGGUGAAGAGCCUGCAAUAGAGGUAGUUGGUCCUCUAGACAUCGACAUUCCUGACGGUGUUGUGAUAGGCUCGGAUCCCAAGUAGGUAGGGUCCAGGGUAGGGUUAGCCUGGUAGUAUAUUUUGAUUUUAGACUUCUGUAUAUAAACUUGAGGUAUUUAUAAAGUAUGUCUUGUGUUAAUUGGUUGUUCUACUUUUCUAUCCCAUAUUGAUUGUUAUCUAGAGAUUAUUAUUUCACUUUCACAUGUGUAUAAAAUGAAUGAGUCAGCAAGGUAUUCUGGGAACAUUAUUGACAUUUAAAUUUCGCCAUUUUACUUAAAAAUUAAUCCCAUACAAAAUUAGGAAUUAGUCUCUAAAAAUAAUUAUUAAUAAAAAAUUUAUUAUAAGAAAAAAAAUAAAUUAAAAAAAUUAGGGGUCGGGUCGGGCCGGAUCCGACCUUGGCCCGGCCCGCCCCCUUCAUUUCCUUUCCCCCACGCGCGGCCCAUCUUCUUUUCUCCCUCGUGCGGCCCACCAGGAUCGGGGGAGCAGUUCCCGCGUGAUCCGCGGAUUGGGGAGCGGGCUGGUCCACAGGCUGGCAAGGCAGGAGCCAGGCACGCCUGCCGUUGGCCUUGAAAAACUUGGGAGGACCUGCAGAAGAAAAGGGGGGAGCACAGCGAGCACAGGGAGAACCGAGAGACGGAGAGAGAGGAAGAGAGCUCAAGAGAGACCGAACCAGGAGAAAGUCGGAGAGACAGAGCAUUGUGAGUGAGAGCAAAGCGAGAAAUUGAGAGAAGAGAGCGGCGGGAAAGAAGCUCGGCCGCGCUCGUGACCUCGUCUCCUGGCAUCCAUUCUUCCGGUAAGUCUCCUUUCGAGUUCAGUCCCCUUUAACCCGAUGAUCUCGUCUUGACGACUCCAGGGUGGUCGGCCACGGUUCGUGCCAUCUCGAACCUGCUUGUAGGCCGCCGUCAUGGAGCCUAGUAGGCCCUCGUCACCCGAGCACCUCCUUUUAUUCGGAUUUUUUUAGUUCACCAGACCGGAACUCGCGGUUCUCUGGCCCGCGCGAGUCUCCGAUCCCAGUGAGCCGCGAUUUUGUUGUCUUAGACUUUGCUUGGGUGUUGCUGUUGCCUUGACUGUUGAUUCAUCUCGCGGUUGAGUUUUCGUUAGCUUUUCAGUUGGCGCACCCCAGGUGUUCGACAUUUUGUCUAGGCCUGCAUAUAUUUUCUUUGUUCUUUUUAUGGGUUGGUCGUGGAUGGUGCCGGGAAAGGGAAGGUGACUGGUGAUGGCACCGUUAGGUGUUGGAGGAUGUCGGUAUCAGGGCUAUCUCGGAUGGUAACUGGUCGUUCAGGCCGAGUUUUGUCCCUCGGCUAACCUCGGUGGGGGCCGAGCCGUGUCUCAGCCAACGGCCGUGGCGGGCAUUGGUCGGACUGAACGACCGACGCCGGAAACCCAUUUCGGAGGGAGUCGUCGAGGAAGAAGAUAGGUGUGGGGAAGGGAUGAAGGGAAAAAUGAGAUAAAAAAAAAGAAAAAAAAAAGAAAACUUAAAAUGAAAAAGUUGGCUUCGGAAAUGACCGUUGAACAGAUGGUGCAGGAAAAGGACACAGUGAGAAUAGACAAAAGAAACGUGAAAAAAAAAAGAAUAGACAAAAGAAAGAAAAAAUAAAAAAUUUAAAAAAUAUUUUUUAAAUGAAAAAUGAAAAAAAAAAUUGAAAAUGAUUUUUAAAAAAAAUCCAAAAGUGUUGGAUCCAGGCUUGGGUUGGGUCCAUGGGCCGGAUUGGGCUUUACUCUGUCCGGCCCCAAAAAAAAUUAAUUAAUUAUUAUUUUUUAAAAAUGAAAAAUAAUUAAAAAUAAUGAAAAAAUUAAAAAUUUCGAAAAUCCAAAAAAUAUAGGGUUUGGUUAGGAAUUGCUAUGUUUUGCCUUCUUAGUAUAAUUAGACCUAUAUUUGCUUGCACGUUGAUUAUAUCGUGUGUUUAAUUCACAUAUUUGAUUACGUUUGUGAAUAUUUAACUACAAUUAGGAUCUAGGUAGUUAUGAUUGUUAUUUUAAUGAUUGCACACUUACAUGAUCACCUCACAUGUUAGUGGAUAAGUGUAAAAUCAGUCUAAAUUGCAUGACAAAAAUCUUUAUUCUUAAAAUGAACAAGAUUAGGUACUGAAAAUGCACUAAUUGGUCAAUUAGCGUAAUCAAGUUCUCGAUCCUAGAUUCUCUAGUUGUGUAGGAAGCGAGGCAUACUCUCACGCUCCGCUUGGUUUCUAGUCGACCCUAAUAGGCUAGUGGCGACUCCUUAUUGCAAAAUAUUUUAAAAAUACUCCAACAUUACGCGAGGUAUGUGCUUAGGAGAGACCGUGUCUAAUCUUGGGCGUUAGUUCCAUCCUUCAGGAAAUGCCCCUAGACAUGUUCCCUCCCCCAAGGGGUAGGUCGUGACAAACGUCGCAAAUUUUAGUCAACCACCGAGAGAUGUUCACGCGCUCGAGGUUCGGGGCGUGACAUCAACCAUUCUUGAUUUGAGAGUUUUAACUUCUCAUUUUCUUACUAAUCAUCAUAUCAAGAAUGGAUAAUACUAAUUCUAGAAAAAUAAUUAUUUGUAUCGGUAAUGCAUUGAAUAACUACACUAAAAUUAAGUAAUGAUUCUGAUUGCUUUGCUAGAGUAAUUUACUUUAGGAGUUCCUAAUUCUUGACACAUUCAUCCGCUCCUCCACAGUAUAAGAAGUAUAAGAGAUCCUUCUUCAUGAUUGGCAUCGGUGCAUCAUUUUCUCCGCUCUCUUGAGAGAGGGUAGUCAUGGCCGGAUCCGAGUCCUGUCCUUGCUCCCACUACCUCUUCAGUGAAGCUAUCCGAGUGGUAAGAAUUGAGGCAUUGCUGGCCAUCACUGCUUCAAUGUUAGUCUUUCUUGGGGUCUUUGGGUUGUUCAGGCGACGCUGUGGCAACCGCACAUUAGCAUUGGUUGCAUUCUGCGCCUAUAACCUUUCACCUGCUAUUAUUGCAUACACGCUUGGUCUCAUCCAAAGCGCUUCUUUCAGCAGUUUGUAUUUCCUUGUGUGGGCGGCUUAUCUGGUGGUGGUUCUCGGAUGCGCCGAUUCCUACACCGCACACAGCAUCGAGGACAAUGAAAAGUGGAAGUCAUUUAAUCUCCACUCCGCUGCUAAAUGUUUCAUGACAAGUUGGAUGAUCGUUUCAUACGCGACCCACCCAAUGUCAAUAUUGUGCGCAGUGUUUCUUUUCGUCAUUCUAUUUGCGAAAGUUGAUGGAAGAACACGAGCUUUGAUGUUGGCAAGCAAUUCUGUGAUGGAGAAGAAGUGCAAGUUACUAGCAGACUACAUGAGCACCGAGCACCAACACGGCGAUUCAAGCCAUGAAGAUCCCGCUACAAUGCGUGGGUACAAUUAUUUGGUGAGAUUUGCGGAAGGGGAACAGGUGCACUCAUUAUGCUCAUCCGCGAUAUGGAGGCAAAAGAAAUCACCAUGGCUCGAUGGGAAAGCGCCGGACUAUCUACAAAAGAUAGUGGGGCUGGAUAGAGUUAUCACCGUGGAGAAGGUUUGGGAUUGCCAAGGGAGGCUUUUAAAAGGAGACCCGAAUGGGCGACUCAAGGAUCUGUGCCUGUCAUUUUCACUCUUCAAGUUCAUCUGCAUGAGAUUCGCUGGCUAUUCGUUGCCUCAAGAAGCUCACAACAAGUUACGGCGCUUGAUUCAACAUAUGCUUAGUGAAGAGAAUGGUCAUGAGCGAGUUUUCAAAGUCAUUGAAGUGGAACUUGCAUUUCUUUUCGAUUUACUCUACACCAAGUACCCGGUGAAUCUCAACCCGUAUCGUUCAUUCUGCAGAUUGCUUCUACUCGUUAUUGUGGCUGCUGCUCCUCUGAUUGCAAAGUUCUCUGCAAAAGUUGACUUUAACGACUGGCUGAGUUUGUCUGAAGGUCCGGCUAAUAUUGUAACAAUCUUACUCAUGAUGUCAAUCCUAGUCAUCGAGUUUGUACAUUUUUGCAUCACGAUUUUCUCUGAAUGGGCAAAGGUGACGUACAUAUGCAAGUAUGUGCAGAAUGAUUGGGGGCUAAAGAAUAGAUGUUCCGGGAAGUUGAUCGAGAUAAUGUGCCGAGUUUGGUUACUGAAGCCUUGGGGAAGACAACUUCGUCAAUACUCGCUCUUGCAAGCAUAUAGCUAUUCUCCAUGGAAGUGUGUAAAUAAUAAAUUCUCCACUGCUUAUUUCGACCAAGAAGGGGACGGUCAGAAACAAAUUCCUCCCACCAAUUUGUCUAAGCAAGUGAAGAAGGCGAUUGCUCGGUCUCUAAGGAAGUAUUUGGAGAAGGGGCAAGCGUUUUUGAGGCGCAAUGACUUGUCUGAUGAGUUCUCAUGGGCAUGUGAUCUUGAGACAACUACUCAUGUUAUAAUGGUCUGGCACAUAGCAACCACUUUCUGUGAGCAUGAAGUGCCUUGUGCUCAACUUUUACAAGAACAAAGAGACAACUUUGACAUAGCGACUAAGCUAUCGCAAUAUCUUGCUUACUUGGUUGUUUAUGCCCCGAGGUUGCUCCCUGGUCACCCCUGCAAGACUAAAUACAUAUUUGGUCGGGCUGUCAGCGAAGCCAGAGAAACAUUGGUAGGUUCCUCUGUUUCAGUGGAAAAGAGGAUUCAAAAGCUAAAAAUGGGCAUUGACAACGAACAAUGCCCGGAAACGAUCGUGGGUCGAGGCACGCAGCUAGGAAUGAAGCUUGUGAAUGGAGUAGAGGAUAAGGGGCGAAUUUGGAAGGUCUUGGCUGACUUCUGGGCGGAUAUGAUCUUGUAUGUGGCUCCUUCGAAUAAUACGGUGGCUCAUGCGAAGUAUCUCACCACCGGGGGCGAGUUUGUGACUCACGUUUGGGUUUUGGUUUCUCAUAUAGGCAUUACGAGAGAUCCACAGGAUCGUGAGUAAUAUGAUGAUCCAGAGAGGAGCUGAACUUGGCCUUAUUUUAUGAUAUUAUGCCUAGUCAGCUAUUAAAAAUGUCUAUAUGGUUGUGUAUAUUUGCAGUAGUCUCUUUAUCUUGCAUCGAUCGCUCUUUAGACUUUAGAAAGCUUUCUCGUGUAUGAUGCAUGACCUGUUUUAUGUGGUGUAAUGUGUUGCUUUAGCAAGGGUCUAUUAGCAAAGACUCGAAUUGGUUGUGCAUUUUUAAGAUUGUAUUAUGUCGAACAUGGGCAAUAUGUAAUGUUUUUAUUGUUGUCUGUUCACACUUUUACAUGUUACGGUACACGAGGUUAUGAGUACACGGCAGAAAUCUCAUACCUUCACUUGUGUAUAUCGUUACAAAGCCUAAGUAUGAGUCCAUCAACACAUCUAAUUGGAUUCGCAUUCACUCACAUGUGUAUUUCAAUAAUCUCGCCCUCACAUAUGAUCUUAGUGUUAGGUGCGCUCCUCCUUAAUCCACAUUAUUAUUUUGUGAGGACUGCAAUAAUAACAACUACAACCUUCAUCCUCUCUCUCUCUCUCUGGGACCUGCCAAGACCGAGCUCAAGUUCAAGCCUUCAACCAAUAUAGUUGGAAGAAUUAAAUCAAAAGUUUAACCCAACGAAUUAUAAGCCAACUACAAUUUAUUAACUAUCAAACUUUGUACCAAUUCUUUAAUACGAGACUUUUCUAAUACAAUUCAUGUGCAUCUCGACAUUCAUUUCCCAGAACCACGAGCAAAGUAGACAACCAUAUCAGGUAUGUCAUGAGGCAGAUCGGAGUGCUUUGAAUGAGGCCAAGACUAGGGAUGACGGGCUGAAAUGGUAAGCCAUGAAAGCUCCCUUUUUUUUUCGAUGUCUCCUCAUUGUACCAAAGACGCUAAGAAAUAUGUACAGGCAGGGCUAUGAAGGUCGAUAGAACCCUAAUCCGCGGUGCAUUCCGAGUAAAAUUGCAUGAAUCACGCAUCCUCAUCCCAGAAUCUCACGCUUUGGGUCCUCCUGUUUAAGCUUGUCUAAAGCAAGUACUGUGGAGGAGUCUCAUUGGCCAAAGAUUCGGACUGACCAUUUUCGGUUCUUUUUGAUAAUCUUUUGUCCAGUUCUUUUUCUUUUUCUUUUCCUGACAAUCUAGCAUUUUUUUUUUCAUUUUUUUUUCCGGUUUUGUGAAAAGCAAUAUGUCAUUGAACCCACCCGUACGUAGCCAUGAUGGUUAAGCUUCACUACCUCAUCACCGAGGGAACAAGUUCGAAUCUCUGGAUGCUCGCGACUUAAAUGGGGGUCUCAGGGGUGAUUUAUUAGGUCAGCCUCCCGAGGGUUUACGUCUAAAUAGCGGCUUGCAACUUGCGGCGAUGCAUCAUUGGUGCUACUGAGCACCGGAGGGUCGUGUGAUCCCCGAAGGGUAAUCUCCGGUGGUCCCUCGGUCAUCCAAAAAAAAAUGUUUCAUUGAAGAAUGUAUCCAUAUUAUUUUAAGUGUAUUUCGAAGAGAUCUCGUUACUUCGGUAAAUGGCAAACCGUAGAGCCCUGCUGCUAAUUACCAGAAGCUGAAAAUAAGACGGAUCCUCGAGGGAGCAAAGUCUUCCGUACCUCCACUUGCUACAAGUUCGGUUUGAUUCCACUUUCCUUCGAACCACACCGUGCUCGUUGUCACGAUCCUUCCAAGUUGGAGUUUGGUGGAUUGCUAGUAGGCGCAAUUGAUUUCUCACGAUGUGGUGCCUAUGCCUAGCACAAGUUCUCUCAACCGUAUGGAUUGUGACUUGGUUUAUUGGUUAAUUAAUUAUAUAAUUUGGUGUUACUUUAAGAUCCGCCACUAAUCUGUGCUAAGCAGAUUAAGGGCCACGUAAGAUGCGAGAGCUCAUCUUAUUUUUAAGAAUCAAAUAUUCAUGGGUACGAGACUUAAUUAUGCGCUUUUCAGCUAACACUUUCUUCUAGAAGGAAUUAUGGUGGUGUUCUUAAUUUGCAGGAUUUGUUAGCUUCAGCGUUAUUUCACAACAUGAUGUAAGCCAACCAAAGAAGUCAUUGCCUAUCUAGAUAAUUGGACCAUAAGAGAUAAAUCAACAAAGAACCAUAGAGGAUGUUAGAGAAUUACAUGGAUCGGUACAAGUGUCCAUACCUACUUUAUGAAAAGAGUCAGAUACCUCCUACUUCUAUCGAUUAUGCAUUUAUAAAUACACAAAAUUUCAGGAUUUAAUUGCAAGUUUUGUAGGACUUAAUUGCAAAUAAUUUGGAUGUCUGAGUUGUCUCUAAAUCCGAUUCGAUUUUGACAGUUGUCCUUAGAUGGAAUUCUCAGAAAAAAUCUGUUAUGAAUUUUUAGAAACUCAAAACUAAAUGUUUGUUGCUGAUUCCCUUCUCUAGCUGUUCAAAAAUUUCGCGUCAUUUCGAAGUCGUUUACUAUUUUUUCCGAAUUUUCCAAAACCCGGUGAUGGACCUUUCACGGUAAUUCACAAUUUUCGGGUCAAACGGAUACGAAUUGGGCUUAAUGGUGUUCUUGAUAUUUAAUCCACACACUCUCAGCUUUCUAAAGGCAUUUGAAUUGAUUGGAGUUCAUUCUUGGGCAAAUUGAUUUCAAAACUAAAUGACCCAAAUUUUGGAAUUAAUGAACGGGUGAUCCUACUUGGGCUCACUCUCAUUGCUUGGUUGCUUGGGAAAUAAGACCAUUUGGUCUGAAUGCAUGCUUAGCUUUUUGUGUAUGUGCUUGCUAGAUGUAUGCAUAGGAGAUGUAAGAAACUCAAGUAGAAGUGUAGGAAUUGUAUAUUCUUCAUUGAAUUGUACACUGUUACAGAGAUGUAUUUAUCAUACAAUAAGAUUCAAUAAAAAAAGUAAAGAAAAUAUUCCCUAGAGGAAAAUAUUUCUAUUCCUAAAAUAAUUACAAUUCCAAUCAAUUACAAUCGACAGCUCGAUUUUAUAUCUUCAAAACAUAUCUUCUUUCAACACUCCCCCUCAAGCUGGUGGCUUGUAUAUAUCCAAGACGCCAAGCUUGUUUAGAAGAUAUGUAUGUUGUCUUUGGCAAAGGGGUUUUGUAAAUAUAUCUGCAGGUUGCUCCGUGGUUCUAAUCCCUCUUGUUUCGAUGAUACCUUCUUUGAUCUUCUCUCUUGUGAAAUGGCAAUCAACUUCUAUAUGUUUCAUCCUCUCAUGUAAUAUGGGAUUUGCUGCAAGUUUGAUUGCUGAAUCAUUGUCACAAAAGAGUAAUGGCGGACCUCUAACUUGUAUCCCAAGAUCCUGAAGUAGACCUCGUAACCAUACCACCUCACAGACAGUCUUUGCCAUGGAUCGAUAUUCAGCUUCUGCUGAUGAUAAUGAUACCGUGGAUUGCUUCUUCGUCUUCCAUGAAAGCAGUGACUCCCCAACCUUAAUACAGAAACCAAUAAUGGAUCUCCUACUCAUGGGACAUGUAGCAUAAUCCGAAUCACAAUAGGGAGUCAUCUCCAUAUUGCACCUUCGAGAAAAAAGUAUCCCCAGCCCUGGACAUUUCUUUAGAUAUUUUACUACCUUCAAGGCUACAUUCAUAUGGGAUUGCUUUGGACUGUGCAUGAACUAACUAAGAGUAUGUACAACAUAGCAGAUAUCUGGCCUAGUCAUGGUGUGGUAGAUAAGUUUUCCAACAAGUCUCUAAUAGCUUGUCGGAUCCUUCAGUAAUGGAUCGUUAGAGGAAGACAUCCCAGUGUCAUAAUCAACACUGGUUAACUUUGCAUUAUGUUCAAUGGGAAUGACUGCCGGUUUGCACCCCGAUAAUCCCGCUUCUGAUACAAUCUCCAUCACAAAUUUCCUUUGGCUAAGAGAAAUCCCCUGAUCAGAAUGAGCUAUCUCUAUUCCAAGAAAGUAUUUAGGUGGCCCUAAAUCUUUGAUAUGAAAAGAGGAGUGCAGAUAUUCCUUAAGCUUUCUCACAGCAGAAUCAUCAUUUCCCAUAAUAAGUAUGUCGUCAACAUAAAUCAUCAGGUAGAUAGACGACGUACCUUUUGUCCAAGUGAAAAGAGCAUAAUCAUACUUGGACUGCU